GGGGGACGAACAAAUAGGGUUAGUGGAUAUGUGAGUUAUAAAAAGUAGAAAGGUAAAGGGAGAUAAAUUAUCUUUACAUAGAAAGUUUGGAAACGGAGGUAAAAGUAGUGUGUACAUUGGGAGAUAGUUGCUGGAAGAUCAUAAAAGUGGUUUGAAGUUGUACUGGGGAGCAAGAACGUGAGCUUAGAUAGGUGAAAGUUUUGGCUGGGACCCUAGAGUAAAGAAAGGAAUCGAGGACCAUCCAAGGUAAGGGAAGCUA
rnacentral:lncRNA from 1 species